rnacentral:rRNA from 1 species
UACGGGGGGAGCAAGCGUUGUUCGGAUUUACUGGGCGUAAAGGGCGCGUAGGCGGCCACUGCAAGUCAGUUGUGAAAUCUCCGGGCUUAACCCGGAAAGGUCAACUGAUACUGCAGGGCUAGAGUGCAGAAGGGGCAACUGGAAUUCUCGGUGUAGCGGUGAAAUGCGUAGAUAUCGAGAGGAACACCUGUGGCGAAAGCGGCUCACUGGACCAUAACUGACGCUGAUGCACGAAAGCUAGGGGAGCAAACAGG